rnacentral:lncRNA from 1 species
GCCUGUUUUGAUUUUCAACAAACAACUUAUUGCUAGACAUUACAAAAGAAUAUGUAGAGAGGACAUGUCACAUGUAGCAAUAAUUGAAGCAUAGAUCAAAGCUUCUCUCAAUAGUUAUCGUUUGAUCCUAAUCUAUGAUGGAUAUUGUUUCGAAAUCAAGUAGAAAUUCCAUCGAUGAUCAAAAUGACCUGCAGACACAAUAAAUAAAAUGGAUCAAGAAAUCGGGAAUUAAUAGAAACCAUGAAUUUGGGAUCUGUAUUUACCUCCCAAGAAGAGUAUGAAUAUAUCAUAUAUCAUACCUAUCAAGAAGAGACAUCGGUAACUAUUCAUAUGGUGCUAGGUAGAUAACUGAUAUCCAUAAGAAAAACUUAUUGAACUCCUUCUGUUC